AACCUGGUUGAUCCUGCCAGUAGUCAUAUGCUUGUCUCAAAGACUAACUCAUGCAUGUCUAAGUAUAAGUUUUAUACGGCGAAACUGCGAAUGGCUCAUUAAAACAGUUAUAGUUUACUUGAUAAUCAAAUUUACAUGGAUACCCGUGGUAAUUCUAGAGCUAAUACAUGCUGUUAUGCCCGACUUACGAAGGGCGGUAUUUAUUAGAUAACAACCAAUAUUCUUCGUGUCUAUUGUGGUGAUUCAUAAUAACUUUCGAAUCGCACGGUCUUUGACCGCGAUAAUUCAUUCAAGUUCCUGCCUCAUCAGCUUUCGAUGGUAGUGUAUUGGACUACCAUGGCAAUAACGGGUAACGGAGAAUUAGGGUUCGAUUCCGGAGAGGGAGCCUGAGAAACGGCUACCACAUCUAAGGAUGGCAGCAGAGGCGUAAAUUACCCAAUCCUGACUCAGGGAGGUAGUGACAAGAAAUAACGAACCGUGACAUUGUUACGGGAUUGCAAUGAGCCGAUUUUUUUUCCCUUGGUGAGGAGCAAUUGGAGGGCAAGUCUGGUGCCAGCAGCCGCGGUAAUUCCAGCUCCAAUAGCAUAUAUUAAUGU
rnacentral:rRNA from 1 species